rnacentral:rRNA from 1 species
UGGGGAAUUUUGGACAAUGGGCGAAAGCCUGAUCCAGCAAUGCCGCGUGUGUGAAGAAGGCCUUCGGGUUGUAAAGCACUUUUGUCCGGAAAGAAAUCCUUGGCUCUAAUACGGUCGGGGGAUGACGGUACCGGAAGAAUAAGCACCGGCUAACUACGUGCCAGCAGCCGCGGUAAUACGUAGGGUGCAAGCGUUAAUCGGAAUUACUGGGCGUAAAGCGUGCGCAGGCGGUUUGCUAAGACCGAAUGUGAAAUCCCCGGGCUCAACCUGGGAACUGCAUUGGUGACUGGCAGGCUAGAGUAUGGCAGAGGGGGGUUAGAAUUCCACGUGUAGCAGUGAAAUGCGUAGAGAUGUGGAGGAAUACCGAUGGCGAAGGCAGCCCCCUGGGCCAAUACUGACGCUCAUGCACGAAAGCGUGGGGAGCAAAA